UGGGGAAUAUUGCACAAUGGGCGAAAGCCUGAUGCAGCAACGCCGCGUGAGUGAUGAAGGCCUUCGGGUUGUAAAGCUCUGUCUUUUGGGACGAUAAUGACGGUACCAAAGGAGGAAGCCACGGCUAACUACGUGCCAGCAGCCGCGGUAAUACGUAGGUGGCAAGCGUUGUCCGGAUUUACUGGGCGUAAAGGAUGCGUAGGCGGAUUUUUAAGUGAGAUGUGAAAACCCUAAGCUUAACUUGGGGACUGCAUUUCAUACUGGAAAUCUAGGGUGCGGGAGAGGAGAAUGGAAUUCCUAGUGUAGCGGUGAAAUGCGUAGAGAUUAGGAAGAACACCAGUGGCGAAGGCGAUUCUCUGGACCGUAACUGACGCUGAGGCAUGAAAGCGUGGGUAGCAAAACAGGAUUAGAUACCCUGGUAGUCCACGCCGUAAACGAUGAGUACUAGGUGUAGGAGGUAUCGACCCCUUCUGUGCCGCAGUUAACACAAUAAGUACUCCGCCUGGGAAGUACGAUCGCAAGAUUAAAAACUUAAAAGGAAUUGACGGGGGUCAUAGCUGUUUUCCU
rnacentral:rRNA from 1 species